rnacentral:rRNA from 1 species
AACGUAGGAGACAAACGUUAUCCGGAGUUACUGGCGUAAAGGGCGUGCAGGUGGUCUGUUAAGUCUGGCGUGAAAGCUCCUGGCUAAACCGGGAGAGGUCGUUGGAUACUGGCGGACUAGAGGACGGUAGAGGCGUGUGGAAUUCCGGGGUGUAGUGGUGAAAUGCGUAGAGAUCCGGAGGAACACCAGUGGCGAAGGCGACACGCUGGGCCGUACCUGACACUGAUACGCGACAGCAUGG